rnacentral:rRNA from 1 species
UACGGGGGGGGCAAGCGUUGUUCGGAAUUACUGGGCGUAAAGGGCUCGUAGGUGGCCAACUAAGUCAGACGUGAAAUCCCUCGGCUUAACCGGGGAACUGCGUCUGAUACUGGAUGGCUUGAGUUCGGGAGAGGUUGGCGGAAUUCCUAGUGUAGAGGUGAAAUUCGUAGAUAUUAGGAAGAACACCAGUGGCGAAGGCGGCCAACUGGCCCGAUACCUGACGCUCAUGUGCGAAGCGUGGGGAAGCAACAGGG